AUGAACGCUGGCGGCGUGCCUAAUACCUGCAAGUCGAGCGAACAGACGAGGAGCUUGCUCCUCUGACGUUAGCGGCGGACGGGUGAGUAACACGUGGAUAACCUACCUAUAAGACUGGGAUAACUUCGGGAAACCGGAGCUAAUACCGGAUAAUAUAUUGAACCGCAUGGUUCAAUAGUGAAAGACGGUUUUGCUGUCACUUAUAGAUGGAUCCGCGCCGCAUUAGCUAGUUGGUAAGGUAACGGCUUACCAAGGCAACGAUGCGUAGCCGACCUGAGAGGGUGCUCGGCCACACUGGAACUGAAACACGGUCCAGACUCCUACGGGAGGCAGCAGUAGGGAAUCUUACGCAAUGGGCGAAAGCCUGACGGAGCAACGCCGCGUGAGUGAUGAAGGUCUUCGGAUCGUAAAACUCUGUUAUUAGGGAAGAACAAAUGUGUAAGUAACUAUGCACGUCUUGACGGUACCUAAUCAGAAAGCCACGGCUAACUACGUG
rnacentral:rRNA from 1 species